rnacentral:tRNA from 2 species
UAUACUAAAGUGUAUGAUGCACGUUAGUUUUUGAUACUAAAAGGGGUAGUUUAAUUCUACUUAGUAUAA